UCGUAGUCGAUGCUGCGACACAGGUCCGCCCCCGACACGCUGGCCGUCAUGCGGCGCAUCGACGAGGAACGCUUAAACUGGACACGUGCGGUGACCAAACGACUGUUUAUUACACUGCACUUAUUACAAAACCAAGCU